CAAUAUGUAUUAUGUGUAAAACUGACCAGUUACACAAUAGGUAUAGAUUCAGAAUAUUUCUAAGGGGAAUCCAGUAAAAAGUCGAUAAAAUAAAAUUUUUAAAACUCAAUUAUUACCCGAAAUCCUUUCCUUUUACUAUGCGACGAUAAAUCAAGAGAAAAACUAUUACUACCCUUUGCCAUUCACAUUUGUUAUAUGCCAAAAAUUACCAAACAAGUUGAAUUUUAAAAUGUCGAAGAAAAACAGUAGAUAGUGUUUAGGCCCAAACAAAUUUUAAAAGAUUAAUUACGAAUAGAAUUUUAGAAUGGAAAUAAUUAUCAUUAGGUUUGUUUUUCAAACAAAAAACCUUAAUAUUUGUUUUUUUUUAUUGUAAAUAAUUUAGGGAACGCUAUUACUCCAUAAUAUUUUAUCUACAACUACAAAUUUUUCAAACAUCUGUUUACAAGCAAUUACAUUGAUAAGAUCUUAUACUAUAAUAUCAUAUUACCACCUUCAAUAAUACUGAGAAGAUUUUGCAUUGAAAAUUAUGUAUUAUUAAUUUGUAUGAAAUUAAAUUUGUGUGAUUCCUAAAUGUUAUUCAACUAUUACGUUUUACCUAAGGCACACAAUUAUUUAUGUAAAUUUGUGGGUCUCAUUAAUUGAUUUCAAUGAUUUUGUGGUAUUCAACUAUUAAAUGACCCUUUAAGUGAACGACACAGUCAUAGUAAAUUACUACAUUUUUAUGAAAAUGAACGCAGGUCGAAAGGACGUGAUUAAAUUAUAUAAAACAUUACUAUACAUGGGCCGUGACUAUCCACAAGGCUACGAUUUUUUUAAGACAAGAUUGAAGAAAGCAUUUUUAAAGAAUAAAGAUGUUAUUGAUCCAAAUGAAAUUCAAUCACUAGUUAAACGUGGAGAA